UGGGGAAUAUUGCACAAUGGAGGGAACUCUGAUGCAGCGACGCCGCGUGAGUGAUGAAGGACUUCGUUUCGUAAAACUCUGUUCUAUGGGAAGAAAAGGACUGUACCAUAGGAGAAAGCUCCGGCUAAAUACGUGCCAGCAGCCGCGGUAAUACGUAUGGAGCGAGCGUUGUCCGGAAUUAUUGGGCGUAAAGGGUGCGCAGGCGGCUUUACAAGUUGGAUGUGAAAUAUUGUGGCUCAACCACAAACGUGCAUCCAAAACUGCAAAGCUUGAGUUAAGGAGAGGUAAGUGGAAUUCCUGGUGUAGCGGUGGAAUGCGUAGAUAUCAGGAGGAAUACCGGUGGCGAAGGCGACUUACGGGACUUAAACUGACGCUCAGGCACGAAAGCGUGGGGAGCAAACAGG
rnacentral:rRNA from 1 species